rnacentral:rRNA from 7 species
AAACUUUCAACAACGGAUCUCUUGGUUCUGGCAUCGAUGAAGAACGCAGCGAAAUGCGAUAAGUAAUGUGAAUUGCAGAAUUCAGUGAAUCAUCGAAUCUUUGAACGCACAUUGCGCCCCCUGGUAUUCCGGGGGGCAUGCCUGUUCGAGCGUCAUUACAACCCUCAAG